CAGUCGCCAGAACGCCACUUGUUUACGGUUGCAACGCGUGCCCUUCGUCUAAUUUCACGAGUUCACAGUCGAAUCGCGCCGCGGAGUGCUCGAAGAGAUCCCCCUGAAUGAACAAUCGCUGUGAUAAAAUGUACAGCUGCGCGUCGACCGGCGUCGGAAACCGGUGCAAGCGUCUCAAACCGACGCGAGCUCCUGCCUCCCGCUUCGCUAAAUCCGCGAUUUCCAGACUCGCGAACUGACUGACGUUUUAGCGCGGAUAUUUUUUGCAGUGUUGCCAUCCACGGCUGGAGGGGCUCGGGGGUUCUGACAGGCACAAUUUACAUUGAGCUCGCCCCGCGCUGCUAUUUACUUUGAAACCUGAUUAGUAUGGGCCGUCUAUUGUCACCAAAAAGAGGAAGAAACCCUGGAUAGAAUAGCAGAAAAAGCGGGGUAAAGGCGAGGGGGGACAAAGCUUUUACGCAGGACAAAUAAACCUAAACCUGUGUUCAGCCGUGGAAGAAAUUCCCCAAAGUUUCAAAAUGGUUUGCCUUGGACCGGUAUCUUUAUUAUAAAAUUAAUUGAUGCCAUUCUUCCUUCUAAGCGGAUUUGUGUUUCCACACGACGUUUUGUCUUUGGCAUGCGCAUUGCGGUACAUCCUCGUCCGUAAUCUGCACAGUCUCGCCGACUAAAACUUACAGUUUAGUUUAAACGAGGUUAUAAAUGGAUGAAAAUGUCCGCGGUAGGACUGAUGCAUAAAGCAGUGCGUUGCACAAACGCGACGCCGCGCCAGCGGUCGACAGUCCCUAAAAUUAGACGGAGCAAUAAGCAAUAUUCAAUAAUUACCAAGCUCUUAUACUCUCCACUAGCACGAGUUGAUGUCACAUUAUGUCUUAAUAAUGACAGUAAUUCAAAAUCAUGUGAAGUUGCUUGGAAUUUGCAUGGGGAUUCCGGCUUUUUUGUAUCAGGGUUUCUGCAGGGUUACUGCCGCUCCAACUCAAAAAUGUCUGGAUCGCGCUGCCAUCUAGCGUACGAUGUACAAUUACAACCUCGUAUUAAUGCAUGCACGAGUCUUAGAACAUGAAUUUUUUAAAACUUAGUGCUUCAUUUAGAAAAUGAGCUGAGCGACAAUUUCACGCACGCCUUUCUCCCGUCUUGCGUUAAUUCAUGAAAAGUGCCAAGUGUUAAUGUUAAGGCUGCACACCAUAGUGCAAACUUGCAAAGAAGAACAAUACAUAUCUGUUGUAUUAACAGGAAAAAAUUAAGUGGACUCUAAAGUACACCAGCAUCCUGAUUUCCAGCUAAUUUAGAUGGAAUAUUAAGCUAAAUGAUGUGCGUAAUUAUCUCCAAAACGCGGAAAUACAGCACCUUGGGAAAAAUAACCACCCAUAAAACUAACAAUCAUUGUUCAAUAUAAAUACACGUAGUCGCAACCAGAUCUUUAACCACACAGAGAUAUUAGUAGAUAUAAUGCAGCUAAAAUAUGCAAGGGUCCCCUUUGGAAACACAUAGGAGGGAUGGGUUGUUUUUUAAGUAUUCAACAAGAGAGCUCUCUCUCGUCCCUGUCUCGGACACUCAACUGAAACUCCCCGGCCAUGUCUCCAGCUCUUUGAAAAGAUUGGAAAGGGGCUCCGCGGGAGAAAAGGAGAGUGAGAGAGGCAGCGAAUGGGAGCGGGGUAGAAGCUCUAAUAGAAAGCUGGGAAACGGCGAGAGGAAAAGAAGAAAGUGGACAACGGGACAUUAAAAGAAGACGCGCCGGCGCCGGCGGUUCCCAGUAGAGGAGCAGCCCUGCACCUGGACGAAGCGCGCCGCCGGGAAGGCAAGUACGCUGUUUAUUUCUCACUUCUCGCACGGCGCACACGCGCGGCUCCAAGCGCGACGCGGAGCCCUCCGCCGCGUCCGCGCCACACGACCGUUAACUCCAAGCGCCGCAGCCGACCCGGGCUGCGUCACACGCGCAACUUUUGAACUGCGCAACAGUCGCGUCGUCUCGCCACAUUCUCGCCGCUCGUCCCCCCCCCCCCCGUUUUCCAGCUGUCCCCGCUCGUUUGGACCCCGGGCAGCGGUAACGUUGUUGCUGGCUGGUCGGAGCGGCACCGCUGGACCCGGGAGCGCUUUUUUUUUUUUUUUUGAGACUCGCACGUCCCGCGCGCCCACCUGCGAGGCUAUUUGUUGUUUGAACACAUAAUGAAAAGAUCGAUAGCAGUCUGUUUGUCUCAGCGAUAGUGUCACCGGAUUAAAAGGCUGAUCAGGGAGACCAGCCGUUGUCAGUCCUGUGCACUCGUCCGUGCGCCAGUUCAGCCGCCAUGCAGCAUCCAACGCAAAUAUUACAGAUUCAUGCAAUAUCCCAAUGCGCCGGAAAGAACAACAGUGUGUGUCAGAAAAAAGGCUGAAGCGAGGAAAUGUAAGAUGACGUGCAAUGUAAUUUGUCAAAGCAGCAUUACUGAUGUAAAGGGACUGUAAUGAAAACUGAUAUAAAAUAAAUGAUGUGACAAUGUAGGCCAGGUUAACUUAUUCCAGGACAAACUGCACGCCUAGCAGCUUUGCAAAAUAACCUUACAUAAUAGCAUUUAACGUAAUCCUCUCAUACAUAGUUAAUGCUAGUAUUCACUGCCCACUCCUCAAGGUUCCUGCGUUUCCGUAUUUAAGCAGCUAAAUAUCUCUGCAAUGCAUCAACCUCUACGAAAGAUGCAAACAAUUAUAUAAUUUAAUUAUUGUUAGACACGGCUUCCCCCGUGUGAUAAAGCAGCCGUCACACGCCGCGAUCUGGUGCUCAGGCUUUAGAAGGCGACAAUUAGUGAUCUUGAAAUAUUAACGUCGAAUCAGAUUCUCUAUUUCAGUCACAAUCGAAUAAUCCACGAAUUGAACGUCCGUGACUGGACUCUGUGAAGUGGAGGAUUCGUCGAAGGAGCAGCUAGAAAUAGUUCAAAAAUAAUUGCAUAACAGUUUUGGCGAAUCUGUGGCGAUCAGCCACCGGUGUCGUUUUUAAAACAGUCCUAAAAUGCAGCUUUAACACAAGGGAAGCCAGAGAGCGGCGCGAUUAGUAGGGAAAUACUGAGGUCAUAAGUGCAAGCGUCCCCUCCCCAGUAAAACAACAGAUGACAGCAAGCAGACAUUUUAGAGCGUUUAAAAUGAUGCAAACGGAUGUGCAGCUUUAUAAAUGCUCGGAAUAUGUUUCGUAUUGAUUGUGUGUAAUCACAUGACGGUAAAAAACCACAGCACACAGUCAAUAAGACAUUGUGUUGGCUUGGAAGGCGAGCCCCUCGUCCAGGGGGCCUCUGCUCCAAACGCCCCGUGUGUACACGUCCAGUGUUGUGUUUGCGGACGCCGGGCUGCACGAGCACAGCUAUUAAUGAACCCCGUGACUUCUGCAUCCGCCUGCCACAGUGAAAUAAAUCAGCGAGCGAGCGGCGUGGAGUGAUGCACACCUUUAUGAGUGUGGUCACAUAGCUCCAUGUGUGGCGCUGCUCGUUUGUUUGUGUAUUAGUCACUGGUUAAUAAUCAAAUCGAUCAUGUGAGUAAACGAGAGGCAGCUCCAGUAACCUAAAACAGCUUCAGCCUCGGUGGACCGAGCUGCUGCACGCUGUGGGAAAGUUACUUCCAUUCAUAAUGGCGUAAACAACGCAAUUCACGCAGCUUUGUGAUUAAACACUUUGCUUUGCUGACAAUAACACUGUAAAGUGUCACCUACUAUCAAGUGUGGGUAGUGAUUCAUACAUCAUCUUAUAUUGUUUUAUAUAUAUUUAGACUGUAUAAACUUUUGUUUUUUUCUUCCCAUACUGAAAAGUAAAAUCACGAUCAUCCAUUAAGAUUUAUUCUGAUACAUCACAUAUGUGACUUUGACAAUAAAGUUUAUACAUUACAUAUUUAGUUAUAGUAAACAAUAUGGCGAGUAUAAUUUCCUCGUGCACGUAAUCCAGAGUCAUUUUGUUCCUAUAUAUGAACUUUAUUUCUGUUUUAUUAUGAUAUUAAUUAGUCAGACAUUGUCCAUAUUAAAUAACAAUAAUGUUUCCGACCACUUUUAAACGCCAGCGGUGUUUUUAAGCUCUCUAUAUAGAAGCCCAGUAGGUGCAGUGAGGUAACUUUUCCUCAACGUCUCAAUAGCACCAAACUUAACAGUGACACUGGGGGAAGAUGAGGAAAAUACUUUUGACCGUACGCGCUGCGACGAACACAACACAAACACGAAGCCUGUCAUAUUUUCGCAAAUCCUAAAUUGAGAGAAAACAAGUCUCUCUCUCGUGCUUGAAUUGAAUUGGAGGUUUUGUUGCUUUGAGAGGUGGUGUGUGUGUGUGUGUGUGUGUGUGUGUGUGUGUGUGUGUGUGUGUGUGUGUGUGUGUGUGUGUGUGUGUGUGUGUGUGUGUGUGUGUGUGUGUGUCUGCGCGCGUGCGUGCGUGGGCUUGGGGGGCUGCUGCUUCUUUUUUUGUCCAAAUCUGAUCCCCAAAUUAUUCUGGGGGCUCAGAUUGGUGUGAAAGGGACGAGAAGGUCACUUGAAAUCGCUUUUUAUCCGCUGGCUUUUUUUUUCUAUGGAUCAGCAACUUUCAAUAGACAUAAUCUAAUCGCUCUUAAUGGAAAGGCCAUUGGUGAGAAAUAGUGGAAAUAUCGUCGAGCCUAUAGGCUACAGCUAUUUAGGACCGGAGCAACAAGAAAUCACAAAACAGGAUGAAUAUUAAUUAUUAGAGCAGCCUGAAGAGUGUCUCCACUCAACAGCGGCAGUUUAUAGCAAAUUAAAAUCAACAGAUGUAAGCGACAGUCUGUGUAGUCAGGGUAGAUAUAACUUUAUCUUUUUUAUAAUAAUCCAGUUAAUUCCUAUGUUACUUCAUCAUAACGCUGUACAUGGUUUUAUCUAUUCAUCAUAAAAUCACUUCAGUUCGACAGUAAAACAGCUCGCAUAGAGAUGUUAUUGUUAGUUUCCUCAUUAUUUCUAAUGUGGCCUCGCGUCUCCAGAGAUGUGAGAUCCUUCCGUUUCAGAUGUGUUAAAUGAAAGUCUCUUUCCAGGAUUUCUGCAUCCCGGACUAUAAUUGAGGACAAUAACUGCAAUGACUUUCCCAAUUAGGCUUGAGGUUGGAGUUAAGUUAGAGGGACUGUCAGUUUAUGCUAUGGGCAAUGGCUUUAUUGCUCACUAACCAUCACUUCUUUGGAGCCUAUGUGCUAAUUACUUUGGAUGGUCCCAGGGACGGAGAUCAUAAAUCCAUUAGCACUCAAACCCUCGUGGUUCCGCAGUGCAAACACUGUAAUUUCGUAGCACACCAAAAAAACCCAAGUCAAAGCACCAGAAGCUGCAUGAAUGGAAACACAUUUCAGCGGCGCGUGCACCUCUUAGGGCUCCAGUGUGAGAGGAAGCCUCGCGUAUAUCAAUCAGCAGCUAAACACACAGAGUAAACUAAGCAUAACAGAAAGCUACUAGCAGGAGAGGUGUUUUAGCAGACGGAGCUGCUGCUGUCCAUGUGUGGUGGAUGGGCGGAAAAAGUACCUGUUUGUUUGCACUUAAUGCGACCCAGGAAUCUUAUUGUUAUUAUGUAUAUUAUAUUUUGGAUCUAUUUUAAUAUAAGUUUGGGAAAUCAUUUAUUCUCGGUCCCCAAGUGCCUUUGACGUAUCUAGGGAGAAAUGCCGCCUGGAGGAAUAAAGUGAAUUAAAAUACGACUUAAUACCUGUUUGACUGAGUUUAAAGGAGCCAAUACAUAAACCGGGAUCCGCACGGGGGUGCGUGAAGGCGUCUCACCCUUAAAGUAAUUUAUUUCAGGGAAACCGGAGGGCAAAGGUGGAAUUCUUGAGAAAUUCAACAAGGAUAAGGGAGCUUUAGGAAUUCUGCACGCAGAUUACCUUUCAUUCCAUCCUCACAUUAUCCGACAACACACAGUAGAAAUAUAGCUCGGCGACAAAAGAGCGAGAUUACCCUCCGACACAGAGGAGCGCAAAACAAUUUUUUAAGAAGUGUGCGAUUAUUAGGGGGGCGAAGGAGAAGAGAAAGGCAGGGGAGGAGAGGGGAGGAAGGGGGGUCACCGCUCCCUGUGCGCCUCCGAAGGGGGGAGGAAAAAAGAUGACAGAGCUCAGCGUUCCUAAAGUGUCCUGUCACUGUGGUGGCGCAGAGUGGACGCUCCAGGACAGGGUUCACGUGCCUUGACUUUACGUGGGCUCUACAUCCACGCAAUUAAUAUGAAAGACCAUGCAUUUAUUAAUAGAAGUCAUUAUCAUUUAAACCCGUUUCCCUCAGGUCCAUCUGCUGGUUACAAUGCCUUAUCAGGGUUCAGGUCCAAAGGUCAGACUUCUACAUUUAGGUUCAAUAAUUAUUUCAUUUUUUUUGUCAUAUUCUGCUUUUGGUUUGUUACUGGCUGAGUGGCAUCCCAUCAGAACUGCAUUAUUUCCCCCAAAACCAACACGCAGCAGGGGCUUAAUUAGAAAUGUAGUGUAGCUGAACCAUGAGGCUGCUGCAGCUGAGAAUGACGGAGCACACUGUUGCCGUUUAGUUUAAUUCAGUCAAGAGGAAGCAGAAAAUAAUUUCCUCAGAAAUAUCAACAAAUAAAAAUAAACACGUCGAUUCAUUUAAGUUUAGUAACCAUGAAACUAUUCUAAGCAAUAAAUUAAUAAAUUAAGGGGUGUGAUCGUGACACUGUGACAUGAUAUUCAUAGUACUAAAAUAUAAAUCUGCUCAAUACUAUAUAUAUAUAUAUAUAUAUAUAUAUAUAUAUAUAUAUAUAUAUAUAUAUAACUGAAGCUUUAAUAAAAAUAACCGAAAGAUACUCCCUCCAUCUCACACCCACAGACAAAUCCCUCCUGAGGUUUUGUGCGCUUUAAUUUGAAAGGUGUGUGUCUUGAGUUUGCGUGUGGAGGCACAUGUGUGUGAACAGACAAGUCAAGUGAAGGUGUGGAGGUGUCCUGUGUUUAGUGUCCAGACCUGGCAGAUUGUGACCUUAUCAAUGUGAAACUCUUAAGAUAAAUUAUUCAUAGCACCUGUUUGAUGUCUGCGGCCAAAGAAUGACAAAGGUGUAAGAUUUAAGAUGCAUCUCGGAGCCCUGAAUAUCAGCUCCGGCGCUUCCUGUGUCUUUUUCAAAGAGCAGAACGAGUUGUUUGACGAGGGAGAGGUUUUCUUUUGAAAGAGUAAAAAUAAACAAUUUGUUUCCUAAACGCGGCCGCAGAACUGAGUCAUCACCGAGCACCACCAUCUUCAUUUGCACAUAAGCGUAACUGCACCUGCCUUUUUCAGGUCCUGACGUCGUGUGAUUCACAGGUGUCACAGUCGGCUGUUUGAAACCCGAAGCGGGGACUCCGGGAGUGAUCCAGCGGCGCUGACCUCGUCCUCCGUGAGCGGCCGCGCGUGUGUUUGUGUCUCCUCACAGGCGCAGAGGGCAGCGUGGCGGCCGGGCGUCUGGAAGCGCGGGGGAGACGACGGCGUUGCCGCUAAACUGGAAGUGUUGGGACCAUUCACCCUGUAGUUAUAGAUAUGAACACAUUACAGGUAAAUUACCGCACAGCUUCUGAGACGGACUCGUUUCCUAGCAUCAUUUAUUCGGUACGUUGUGUAAGCGUGUUUAUGAAGUCCGAGUCCAAGUUGUUCCACUCAAACGUCCUGGAACUCAAAGAGCAUGUGAGUGAUUUGUCUUGGAAACAGAGCGGGCUUUUUGGGAAGCCGGCAGCUGAUCUUGUCACGGCUAGAGGUCAACACAACACUCGGCAUUAAUAAAACAAAUAAGGCCGCGAUAGAUAUUAAUGAUGACCGACGCAGAUGUUGAAUUAUGCCAGCGCCGAAGGAAAGUGCACUCACAACGUAUUGUAUGUUUACUUGCCUGUGUGUGUGUGUGUGUGUGUGUGAUAGCGGGGUCCUGUUUCUUUCAGAUGUUCCCUUUGACCUUUGACCCCUGAGCCGGGGGGUCAAGCCCUGACAAAUGAGAUGGUCGAGUUUUGGACAGAACUGCAAACAUUCCACAACAAUCUCGCGUCCUGCCCCCCCCCCCCCCCCCCCCCACAUCCGUCAUUCCUCACCCCUCCACUCCUCCCCUCUCACUGUGUCAGACAGAAGUCCUCAUUAAAACGUAAACACAUCUUAUCAUAUUUGCUACGAUCGCGCCCCUUCGACUUAGGAUUUGCAGCGCCGGUGCAGUUCAACGCCACAGACGGGAGCCCCGUUCGCGGGAAGGGAACGAAGGGCGUGCGACGUCGGCGGAGAAGCCAUGUUAAACAUUUGGAUAUUACAACGCUGCACUUUGAGAGCACACUGUGCGUGUUUGGGGAGCUUGUCAACGAUGUCAAAGAUGAGAAAUGUUGCAGUGUGGCUUUUUACACACGCUGCUGGCUCUAGCAUUUCCGGCAACAUUUCUCACUCUGCCUCCCUCACACCAUCCGCUCUGCUGCAAUAUCCCCACAUUUUUCCAUCCUUUCACUUCUUCUCCCUCCCUCCCUCCCUCCCUCCCUGCUCGCCUCCCUGCUCUCGGACCACUCUUACUCCCAUUACCCGUCCUCCCCGCUGCCCCAUCCGACUCUCCCUCCCUUCUCUCCACUUACAGCACUCUCACUGCCCCCCUCCCUUUUUUUCCUCCACCCACUAUUUUCUCUGAUUUCUAACAUGCUGCUCCACAGAAUGCUACCACCUGUGUCUUUAGGGGGAAAAGGCAGCUUUUGGAAUUCCUCUGUGUUAAGGUAAACUGGCAUCCUUUAUUAGACAAUAGUAGAUCUGGUCUGGGCGUUUCUUGCAUUCCCUUUGUUUUAUGUAAUGACCGGGAUCCUAAUCUCCACCGGAAGCUGUGCUGUGCAGACACGCACGGUCAGCAUCCGCCGACGUCAGCGGAGCAGCCACAGACGAGGCCGGGGACCGACGGCGGCCUCUUCCACGGUAACGCUAAGUGAUGAAAUCUCACUAAAAGGCAACGCAACACCGCAAAGAUCUUAAUAAAAGCACAUCAAUUUCA